GUGGGGAAUAUUGCACAAUGGGGGAAACCCUGAUGCAGCGACGCCGCGUGGAGGAAGAAGGUCUUCGGAUUGUAAACUCCUGUUGUUGAGGAAGAUAAUGACGGUACUCAACAAGGAAGUGACGGCUAACUACGUGCCAGCAGCCGCGGUAAAACGUAGGUCACAAGCGUUGUCCGGAAUUACUGGGUGUAAAGGGAGCGCAGGCGGGAAGACAAGUUGGAAGUGAAAUCCAUGGGCUCAACCCAUAAACUGCUUUCAAAACUGUUUUUCUUGAGUAGUGCAGAGGUAGGCGGAAUUCCCGGUGUAGCGGUGGAAUGCGUAGAUAUCGGGAGGAACACCAGUGGCGAAGGCGGCCUACUGGGCACCAACUGACGCUGAGGCUCGAAAGUGUGGGUAGCAA
rnacentral:rRNA from 1 species